GGGCGCUUAGCUCAGUCUGGUCUAGAGCGUUUGUUUGACAUACAAAAGGUCACAGGUUCAAAUCCUGUAGCGCCCACCA
rnacentral:tRNA from 1 species